GGCCCGCGUAGUUUGCCGAUGGACGCCGCGAGCCCAAUCCAAAACACCGGCUACACAUGUAGAUUCUGACGACCGAUUGCUUUCGGACGUGGGUUCGACUCCCACCGUCUCCACCA
rfam:Bdellovibrionales bacterium RIFOXYD1_FTLL_55_31 rifoxyd1_full_scaffold_1671, whole genome shotgun sequence.